UACGUAGGGUGCGAGCGUUAAUCGGAAUUACUGGGCGUAAAGCGUGCGCAGGCGGUAAUGCAAGACAGAUGUGAAAUCCCGGGCUUAACCUGGGAACUGCAUUUGUGACUGCAUUGCUGGAGUGCGGCAGAGGGGAUGGAAUUCCGCGUGUAGCAGUGAAAUGCGUAGAUAUGCGGAGGAACACCGAUGGCGAAGGCAAUCCCCUGGGCCUGCACUGACGCUCAUGCACGAAGCGUGGGAGCAAACAGG
rnacentral:rRNA from 1 species